UACGUAGGGUGCGAGCGUUGUCCGGAAUCAUUGGGCGUAAAGCGCGUGUAGGCGGCUUCGUAAGUCCGUUGUGAAAGUCCAGGGCUCAACCCCUGGAAUGCCGAUGGAUACUGCGGAGCUAGAGUCCGGAAGAGGCGAGUGGAAUUCCUGGUGUAGCGGUGAAAUGCGCAGAUAUCAGGAGGAACACCAAUGGCGAAGGCAGCUCGCUGGGACGGUACUGACGCUGAGACGCGAAAGCGUGGGGAGCAAACAGGG
rnacentral:rRNA from 1 species